rnacentral:rRNA from 1 species
CAGCCGCCGCGGUAAUACGUAGGUCCCGAGCGUUGUCCGGAUUUAUUGGGCGUAAAGGGAGCGCAGGCGGUUUAGUAAGUCUGAAGUUAAAGGCACUGGCUCAACCAAUGUAUGCUUUGGAAACUGUUAGACUUGAGUGCAGAAGGGGAGAGUGGAAUUCCAUGUGUAGCGGUGAAAUGCGUAGGUAUAUGGAGGAACACCGGUGGCGAAAGCGGCUCUCUGGUCUGUCACUGACGCUGAGGCUCGAAAGCGUGGGCAGCGAACAGGAUUAGAUACCCCGGUAGUCCCUGUCUCUUAUACA